rnacentral:rRNA from 1 species
CCUACGGGUGGCAGCAGUGGGGAAUAUUGGUCAAUGGACGCAAGUCUGAACCAGCCAUGCCGCGUGCAGGAAGACGGCUCUAUGAGUUGUAAACUGCUUUUGUACGAGUGUAAACGCCGAUACGCGUAUCUGUCUGAUAGUAUCGUACGAAUAAGGCUCUGCUAACUCCGUACCAGCCGCCGCGGUACGACGGAGGAGUCAAGCGUUAGCCGGAUUUAUGGGGUGUAAGGGGUGCGUAGGCGGUCGGACAAGUUAGAGGUGAAAUCCCGAGGCUCAACGCCGGAAGUGCCUCUGAGACUGUCCGGCUAGAGAGUAGGUGCGGUAGGAGGAAUGGAUGGUGUAGCGGUGAAAUGCAUAGAGAUCA